AGUGGCUCAGUAGUUAAAGCACUUGGCUGCUGACCAAAAGGUCAGUGGUUCAAACCCACCAGCCACUC
rnacentral:tRNA from 1 species